UACGGAGGGAGCAAGCGUUACUCGGAAUUAUUGGGCGUAAAGGGCGCGUAGGCGAUUCGAUAAGUCUCAUGUGAAAUCCCAGGGCCUAACCCUGGAAUGGCAUGGGAUACUGUUGGAUUUGAGUUCCGGAGAGGAAGGCAGAAUUCCCGGUAUAGCGGUGAAAUGCGUAGAUAUCGGGAGGAAUACCAGUGGCGAAGGCGGCCUUCUGGACGGAUACUGACGCUGAGGCGCGAAAGCCAGGGGAGCAAACGGG
rnacentral:rRNA from 1 species